GCCCCACAUCAAGAGAGUGGCUGACGCCAACGCCAACCUGCCCGCCCGGCAAGGUGGUACCCGCAAGAUUGCGGGAUGCGGUUCCGGUACUACCGGAGCAAUUAAGGGGUGCGAU
rnacentral:ncRNA from 2 species